AUGAAGGAAAGAAGGAAGAGGAGGAAGGAAGAGGAGGAAGGAAGGAAGGAAGAGGAGGAAGGAAGAGGAGGAAGGAAGGAAGAGGAGGAAGGAAGGAAGAGGAGGAAGGAAGAGGAGGAAGGAAGGAAGAGGAAGGAAGGAAGGAAGGAGAAGAGGAGGAAGAGAAGGGCCAGGAAGAGAAGGAAAGGAAAGAAGGAAGGAAGAGAAGGAAGGAAGGAAGAGAAGGAAGGAAGAGAAGGAAGAAGAGAAGGGAAGGAAGGAAGAGAAGAAGAGAAGGAAGAAGGAGGAGAAGAAGGAAGGAAAAGAGAGAAGGAAGGAAGGAAGGAAGGAAGGAAGGAAGGAAGGAAGGAAGGAAGAGAAAGAAGAAGGAAGAGAAAGAGGAAGAGAGAGAAGGAAGGAAGGAGAGAAGGAGGAAGAAGAGAAGAAGGAAGGAAGAGAAGGAAGGAAGGAAGAGAAGGAAGGAAGGAAGGAAGGAAGGAAGGAAGAGAAGGAAGGAAGGAAGAGAAGGAGGAAGGAAGAGAAGGAAGGAAGGAAGAGAAGAGAAGGAGAGAAGGAGAGAAGGAGAGAAGGAGAGAAGGAAGAGAAGGAAGGAGGAAGGAGAAGGAAGGAAGAGAGAAGGAAGGAAGGAAAGAGAAGGAAGGAGAAGAGAAGGAAGGAAGGAAGAGAAGGAAGGAAGGAAGAAGAGAAGGGAAGGGAAGGAGAGAAGGAAGAAGGAAGGAAGGGAAGGAAGGAAGGAAGGAAGGAAGGAAGGAAGGAAGGAAGAAGGAAGGAAGGAAGGAAGGAAGGAAGGAAGAAGGAAAGGAAGGAAGGAAGGAAGGAAAGGAAGGAAGGAGAAGGAAGAGGAAAGGAAGGAAGGAAGGAAGGAAGGAAGGAAGGAAGGAAGGAAGGAAGGAAGGAAGGAAGGAAGGAAGGAAGGAAGGAAGGAAGGAAGGAAGGCUGCAGUGUCUAGCACAUGAUGGAAGGAUAAGGCAGCCUUUAACAGUCAUGCAAGGCCCUCCACACAUUGCCGCUCACACAUUGCCACUUCCGCAAUAUGGUGAUGUUUUUGAUCACCCGAUUACAAAGACAUAA
rnacentral:lncRNA from 1 species